UUCAGGAUUCUUCUUUGUGACACCAUCUCUAUUCAAACCCUAACUUCAUCUCUUCAUCAAGAAAUUCUUAUUCGUGACACCGUCUCUAUUCAAACCCUAACUUCACCUUCUUCAUUAAGAAAUUUCUGGUCAUUGUUUUGAAUGUUGCUUGCUAUGUUACAGAAUUGAUGAGCAGAUCAAUCGCUAUUUGUAAUUGAAACCCUAACUAUCAAAAAGCGAUUCCGAUUCCGUCAAUCUUGCCUAAAAUCAGGUGUGUUCUUCAAUCUAAACAGGUAUCUACUUAAUCGUUCUCUCUUGGUUUCUUAAAUGUUGGUUGUUCUUUCUCAUUACUUUCUUCAUAUAUGCAAAGAAAAAAAUAAAUAUAUGCCUGUAUUGUCUAUAUUCGUUAGUAAUUUUACAGAUGUUUCUUCAUCGGUAUCUGUUUGUGUUGAUCGUGAUUGUUAGGUUACGGUAUUGUUUACUUGAUAGUUGAUGCUAUAGACAUUAUUACAUACCUGUAGUUGUGUAUCUCUUUGUGAUUGAUUGUAAUUGUUAGGUUACUGUAUUGUUUACUUGAAGUUGUUGAUCGUAAAUUUGGAAUUGUUUGAAUGAUGGUGUUGAUGAUGAUGUGACACACUAACAGAGGAAGGCAGAUUCGGUGGUUCCGGUUCUGUUUUCUUCUUUCUCCUUAGUCGAAAGAAUUGCUGCAAAAUUCAGCACCGCCGCCAGCACCCUUCUUCUUACCGACAUUGUGUCUUUUGCUUGCAAUUGGGUACGUCGAUUCAUGUUUUCGUCAAUUCGGGUGGUGUGGUUUUUCUUUCUUGGGGUGAUACUUUUCUUUAGAGGUCUCUUACAAGGGUCAUGCGACACUUAUAAGGUGAACUAUGUUCAGGGCUGCAGUUUACAGACUUCACAUGUGUACAAAGUGCAAAAUCUUACUAAAUUUUUGGUUUAUAAUCUAACACAAAUUAAGCUCAAACAAUUGGUAUUGUUUCAUCAUAUUUUGGUAUAUAAUCUAACACAAAGUAAGCUCAAACAAUUAGUGUUGUUUCAAUAUAGAAGGUUUUGAGAGCUGAGGUUGCUCCUGUUCAGGCAGUUAAGCUGGGAUUUUCCAAGCUUCGAGCUCUGAGUCUCCUGUUACAACUCACAAUUUUGAUAUUCUUCAGUUUGGUUGAUCAGAAUUGGGCUUCAGUUCAUUCAAAUUCAUAUAUAUAACAUGUAUUUUAUUAUCCCUACAUGCCAUCCAGGUUGCUCCAAGUUCGAUUCAUCAGUAUGGCUUGAUAAGAAUUGGGCUUUGGUUUGUUUAAAUUCAUAUAUUCAAGCUCUAUUACAAUAAAUAAGUGGAUUCUUGCUGAUCGCAACCAGCAUGUUUGGCAUCUAGCCAUCUAAGUGUGUUAUGCUGUGAGAUGGUUGAAGCAGCUGCAUCAAGACCAGGAAUCACGGGCCCUUGGAUCACUAAAUCAUAUCUUGAAAUGAUUCUGUCAUUGCAGCCAAUGUUAUUACCGAUCGAGAUUCCAUAAGGUUUUGAGGAUUUGGUUUUAUUAGUUUUACAUCAACUGACGCAGCUGAUAGCGCUCUCUGUUUCCCUGCAUAAAAACCUAAAUCAAAGAGACGAACUCUCAUCCAGAUCUGGAUCAAGAUGUAGAAGGCGAGCUGUGGUUGUUUUCUUCGAUAUCGUUGAAGAACAUAUACACUGAUCUUCAGGAUGUCGGGGUUUGCUUCUUCAAAGAUGAUAUACGCUGUUUAAGAAUUUGGAUGACCUGGAGGAAGAGGACUCUAUAGAAUUGAUAAGCUGCUGGCUACCAAUCUUUAAUGGGAACACAUCGUCAUGGAGUCAUGGCCAGUGGAGACCAAUCCUCACUCACAAAAGAACUCUUUCUUAGAUAUAAUGUUAUAUUUUUACCACUUUUGCACAUAAGGUGUUGGGCAAUCAAAUGAAGUUCAAUGGGCAUUUAUUGUUAGUGAUUUAGUGAUACUACCAUAAUACAAAUUACAUCAUUUGAUGACCCAAAGAAAAAGAAGAAUAAAAGGUGUUCAUUCAAGACCCUGUUCAAAAGUUGUUAGUUUACCCUAACAUCUCAUUUUAAGACCUCAAGAUCACCACUAGGUAGGGUAUGGAGGGAUGUUGUAGCUCGAGCAAUGCAGGGUUGUCAUGCUCAACAUUUCUUAGAUUUUUGUGAGGCUUUACACAAAAUGGGUCGAUUCGUAUAAUGUGUUAUCUAGAAAAUGGGUGGUAAAACGUAAAGUAGGUAGUUGAACGGGUCUGGUUGGUUGCGUAAUGGAUUAAAUGAAUAACUUUUAGUACGGAUACAAAUGGGUCGAGUUGGGUGACCUGUCGAGAAUAUGUGUUCAUUUUUAUUGUUUUUUAAAUAAAUGAUGAAUAGAUAAGAUUGUAAAAGUAUAUUGAUUGCUUCCUCCUUCACGCCGCUUUCUUCUUUCGUCUUCCUUCUGUUUGAUUUGAAGUGAACCAAAUAAUUAGGGUUUCCACUUCUUGCGUUUGCGAUUGAAAAGUUACAAUUGUUGAUUUCGGAUAUUGAUUUAUAGCUUCAAACGAAACCUAAACAGCUUAAAGCUCCGAUGUUGACUUAAGGUGAACUUUUAUUUCUUUCGAUCAAAAAAGUUGGGAACAUAUAUACUGAUUAUCUUCUUCAAGAGAUUACGGGUAUUGUUUUCUUCAUUCCAUUGCUAGGAUUAGUAGAUUCAGUUUCGUUAGGUAAAAAUGAUGUGUUUGCUCGAAAUUUUUUGUUGUUUUGUGCAGUAGAAUGAAGGUCGAAAUUUUUUAUGAGGUUUUGUUUCGGAUUCGCAACUGCAUGCUCGAUUUUAGGAAAAAUAGGGUUUGGUAAGUGGAGAUUUAGGCGAUUAUUUUUUCUGAUUUAAUGAUUUUUUGUCUCCAAUAUGGUAUUACGAUGUUUGAAAUGGUUGCUGUUCAUUUUUAGACGUAGAAGGGGGAGGUGUCUCUACAUUCGGCUGAUUUAUCUACACUAGAGGGAAUGGUAUAGCUCUUUCAAGUGAGUGUGCUAUCAAAACAAGCUGAAAUAAUCCGGAUUCCUUUUCCAUGAGGAAUCCUGAGGAAAUCCCAUGGGUGAAGCUUAAUCCGAAUAUGUUUUUCAUAGAUAAGGACAAAGUUGUACACAUUUGAAGGUGCAAAGAAGGUAAUUUUCGGUAGCUUCAUUUGGUUCGUUUCAUUGAUGAGGCACCUCAAUUGCAGGAGGCAGCAUGAUGAUUUCACUUUGUUGUGUGUUUUGUUACCAUUGAGUACUAAAUGGAAUACAUUUGGAUAGAGUUUUGAAUGUCAACAGUUCACUUAAAAGUAUUCUAUAUUCUCAGUUUAAGCUAGAGUUAUCAUGGUUGUGCCUACCUUAAAAGUAAUCUAUAUUCUUAGUUCGCUCCAUCGUUGUGAAUGAUGAUUUCACUUUGUUGUGUGUUUUGUUACCAUUGAGUACUAAAUGGCAUACAUUUGGAUACAGUUUUGAAUGAUUUAGUCAACAGUUCACUUAAAAGUAAUCUAUAUUCUUAGUUUAAGUUAGAGUUAUCAUGGUUAUGCCUACCUUAAAAGUAAUAUAUAUUCUUAGUUCGCUCCAUCGUUGUGGACUUCUCUUCGAUGACUUAUUUACGUGAAAAUACAUGUAGGCAACAUGAAGCUAACGUAUGUAUUCGCGGUGAUCACUGCAACUUCAUAUAUUUAAAAUAGUUUGGUAGGUCA